AAUAUAUUGCUACUUCACUCUGUCUUAUACUUGCUUAUGAAAAUUGAUUAAUUAAUUUAACAUAGUAAUAUGUUUGAAAGAUUGAUUAAUUGAGUAAGUAUGUAUGUGCAUUAGUUAACAAAUGACCAAGUUGCCGUGAAAUUAUUCGUAAUAACAUGAACAUAGUUUUAAUAAUUAUAAGUUAAAAGAAUGAGAUUAAUCUAACACACAUUUAUGUCAUAUUGAUUAAAACCUUUUUUAGAAAUCGUGCAUUGGAAUUUUACUUUUU
rnacentral:lncRNA from 1 species